GAUGAACGCUGGCGGCGUGCCUAAUACAUGCAAGUCGAGCGAACAGACGAGGAGCUUGCUCCUCUGACGUUAGCGGCGGACGGGUGAGUAACACGUGAAUAACCUCCCUAUAAGACUGGGAUAACUUCGGGAAACCGGAGCUAAUACCGGAUAAUAUAUUUAACCGCAUGGUUCAAUAGUGAAAGACGGUUUUGCUGUCACUUAUAGAUGGAUCCGCGCCGCAUUAGCUAGUUGGUAAGGUAACGGCUUACCAAGGCAACGAUGCGUAGCCGACCUGAGAGGGUGAUCGGCCACACUGGAACUGAGACACGGUCCAGACUCCUACGGGAGGCAGCAGUAGGGAAUCUUCCGCAAUGGGCGAAAGCCUGACGGAGCAACGCCGCGUGAGUGAUGAAGGUCUUCGGAUCGUAAAACUCUGUUAUUAGGGAAGAAAAAAUGUGUAAGUAACUAUGCACGUCUUGACGGUACCUAAUCAGAAAGCCACGGCUAACUACGUG
rnacentral:rRNA from 1 species